UACGAAGGGUGCAAGCGUUACUCGGAAUUACUGGGCGUAAAGCGUGCGUAGGUGGUUCGUUAAGUCUGAUGUGAAAGCCCUGGGCUCAACCUGGGAAUGGCAUUGGAUACUGGCGACCUAGAGUGCGGUAGAGGGUAGCGGAAUUCCCGGUGUAGCAGUGAAAUGCGUAGAUAUCGGGAGGAACAUCCGUGGCGAAGGCGGCUACCUGGACCAGCACUGACACUGAGGCGCGAAAGCGUGGGGAGCAAACAGG
rnacentral:rRNA from 1 species